rnacentral:snoRNA from 1 species
GAUUGUAUGAUGAAUCAUUUACGGAUGUAAAUCACAGACCUGAUCCGAAUGCGCAAAACCGUGUGGAUCUUUUCCGUUGCCUUCCUUCUGAUCACAAU